AGAUUCAAAAGCAUCCAGAGAAGAGAGGUAUAAUAGGGUUUUCCUCUCUUUAUCAAUUUCUGCUAGGGUUUUCAAUCCCUGUCUUUCUCUCUUCCUCUUUUCCUUCUGUAAAUCUCAAUAUCUCUUUAUCUCUUCCUCUUUCCAACCUGCGACUGCCGCCGCGCUACCUGCCGCCCCCGCGCAAGAUGCCGCCGCCGCCGCGCAAGACGGCUGACAGACAUUCUCAAGGAUGACAGCAAAGUGACAGAGCAACAUUCUAUGUCAAAUUCAGAAGGUGGUGGAAGGGUGUAAAUAUAUUUCAGAAGGCCUAUGUUUUGAUUCCAGUACACGAGGAUCUUUAUUGGAGCUUGAUCAUUAUUUGUAUUCCGGAUAAAGGUGAUGAAUCAGGGCCAAUCAAACUUCAUUUGGAUUCUUUGAGUCUUCACUCUAGCAGAUCACUAUUUGAUAACAUCAAAAGGCUCUGUAUGAAGCUCUAAUGAGGCAAGAAGAACUGCCAACUUACAUUGACAACCAAGAAGAAGCUAGGCUAAGGCAGAAGAAGAAGUUCUGCUAGUGAGUGUUGUUGCUGAAAGAGGAUCUGCACGACCAAGUUUUUCAUACCAUGGUGUUUCUGAGGAUUGCUGAAUGAUGAUCCCUUGCACACGAAUGAUAGCGGAGUUUGGGUGACCGGUUGGAUGAGAGAAUGUACUUUACAAAAUGACUUCAACAUUCAGAUUAACGACUCCACACGAAUGAGACUUGCCGUGGAUCUGAUUUUAGAGGAGUACAACGAUUUAUGUCUCGUAAUACAAGAAAAUGCUUGGCAAUAUAGGACCAAGGUGGAAGCAGAGCAUGAAGACAUUUGGGAAUGAGAAAUUAUCUUUUUAGAUAUUUUUAAUAUUUUCUUUGAAAGACAAAGUACUAAGCUAUGUAUCAUUUGUUUUUACACUAAUUUAUCCUUCUUCAUAUUACAAUUCUAUAUUACUAAUUUCCUUUACUUUA